rnacentral:rRNA from 1 species
AUCAACUUUCGAUGGUAGGAUAGAGGCCUACCAUGGUGGUAACGGGUAACGGGGUGUUAGGGCACGACACCGGAGAGGGAGCCUGAGAAACGGCUACCACAUCCAAGGAUGGCAGCAGGCGCGCAAAUUACCCAAUCCCGACACGGGGAGGUAGUGACAAUAAAUAACAAUACGGGGGUUCUUUAGGAUCUCGUAAUUGGAAUGAGUACAAUUUAAAUCUCUUAACGAGGAACAAUUGGAGGGCAAGUCUGGUGCCAGCAGCCGCGGUAAUUCCAGCUCCAAUAGCGUAUAUUAAAGUUGUUGCAGUUAAAAAGCUCGUAGUUGAAUUUCGGGGUUAGUAGGUUGGUCAUGCCUCUGGUAUGUACUGGUCUCACUGAUUCCUCCUUCCUGAUGAACCUUAAUGCCAUUAAUUUGGUGUUUUGGGGAAUUUGGACUGUUACUUUGAAAAAAUUAGAGUGUUUAAAGCAAGCUAACGCUUGAAUACAUUAGCAUGGAAUAAUGAAAUAGGACGUUCGAUCCUAUUUUGUUGGUUUCUAGGAUUGACGUAAUGAUUAAUAGGGAUAGUUGGGGGCAUUAGUAUUCAAUUGUCAGAGGUGAAAUUCUUGGAUUUAUUGAAGACUAACUACUGCGAAAGCAUUUGCCAAGGAUGUUUUCAUUAAUCAAGAACGAAAGUUAGGGGAUCGAAGACGAUCAGAUACCGUCGUAGUCUUAACCAUAAACUAUGCCGACUAGGGAUCGGAUGAUGUUAAUUUUUUAAUGACUCAUUCGGCGCCUUACGGGAAACCAAAGUGUUUGGGUUC